GCCGUGGCUCAGCGGGAGAGUCUCUGCUUGCCAUGCAGGAGGCCCCAGGUUCAAUUCCUGGUAUCUCCA
rnacentral:tRNA from 1 species